rnacentral:rRNA from 1 species
UUCCGGUUGAUCCUGCCGGACCUGACUGCUAUCGGAUUGAUACUAAGCCAUGCGAGUCUUUGUAGCAAUACAAGGCAGACGGCUCAGUAACAAGUAGUCAAUCUACCCUAUGGACGGGGAUAACCUCGGGAAACUGAGAAUAAUACCCGAUAGAUCAUUAUGCCUGGAAUGGUUUAUGGUUCAAAUGAUUUUUCGCCAUAGGAUGGGACUGCGGUCUAUCAGCUUGUUGGUGAGGUAAUGGCCCACCAAGGCUAUAACAGAUACGGGCUCUGAGAGGAGAAGCCCGGAGAUGGGUACUGAGACACGGACCCAGGUCCUAUGGGGCGCAGCAGGCGAGAAAACUUUGCAAUGUGCGAAAGCACGACAAGGUUAAUCCGAGUGUUUUCUGCUAAAGAAAUCUUUUGUCAGUCCUAAAAACACUGACGAAUAAGGGGUGGGCAAGUUCUGGUGUCAGCCGCCGCGGUAAAACCAGCACCUCAAGUGGUCAGGAGGAUUAUUGGGCCUAAAGCAUCCGUAGCCUGCUCUGUAAGUUUUCGGUUAAAUCUAUAUGCUCAACAUAUAGGCUGCCGGGAAUACUGCAGAGCUAGGGAGUGGGAGGGGUAGAUGGUACUCGGUAGGAAGGGGUAAAAUCCUUUGAUCUAUUGAUGACCACCUGUGGCGAAGGCGGUCUACUAGAACACGUUCGACGGUGAGGGAUGAAAGCUGGGGGAGCAAACCGGAUUAGAUACCCGGGUAGUCCCAGCUGUAAACUAUGCAACUCAGU